rnacentral:lncRNA from 10 species
CGGCCUCCCAAAGUGCUGGUGUGAGCCACAGCACCAGGCCUUGGGGCUUGGAAUUUUAUAUUAACACUAUCUCUUGAUUUCUCUUAUCUUCUUUCUCUCCAGAUUUUUCCCCAGAUUGCCUGUUCUCACCAGUUCUUCUAUCAAUGCUAAGAACUUGGCUUUAGUGUAAAGUAUUUAAGCAGCCAAAGAUAAGAACCUUCUAACUUUUCAUUUAUACUUGCAUUAGCCUGAAUCUUCCAAUAGCUUCAGUAGCAGAGGUUUAUAAUUAAGGUUCAAACAAAAUUAAUAAAAAAUCUUUAUAUCAUGUUAAAUUGCUUAUCCUUUUGGCCAAGGAACAGAGAAUAGCCCCAAAAUUCAGAGUGAAGGGAAACUGUAGGAAACAUGCCAGCAUGAGGACAAGACCAUGCACAAAGAGGGCAUGGAGCUGACUGAACUGACCCACAGCUCCCUUGAAAGACCCCCAGCUGUCAACCCACUUUACCCAUUCAACUCACUUUUCAUGCUUCACACUAUGCAACUGGACUCCCACCAAGCCAAUCUCUUCCACGUUCAUUCAUAUACCCACACUUUCACCUAUACUGCCAGCCCCAGCCUACCUUUGCCCCUGACUGCUACUUCUGGGGACUAGUCAAAUUCAUCCAUUCUUUAAAAUCUAGAUAAAGCCUCUACUUCUGUGACUCUUCCAAACAUGCCAUCUGAACUGUUAGAUGGAACCUACCAUACACCUAGGCAUUGCUAGCUUUUCACAGCUAUACAUCAUCUUUUUUGGCUAAUUUAGUCAUAAAUUCCACAGGAUCAAGUCUUAAACAACUUUGUGCUUCUAAAAGUGGCUCUCAACCAUCACUGUGCAGACAAGUGGUAUAGCAGUAACCCUGAAUAAGUGCACCAUCAAAUUUUAAACAAUAUAUAGAAUUUAUUUUUGUUCAACUAACAAUCCACAAUUUUACAGGGAUUUCUAUCAGACACUAAGCCAAAAUAUUGCCCAUGAUACAAUUUGCUGAAAAUAAAAUAAAGAUUGCAUGUUCAGAGGAACAUAUAUGAACUUUACCUCAAAGGAUAUAAGAGAACAAGGUCAGGGCUGCAAACAAUACUGUUCAAACAGUAACACACCAGAGGGUGAACAAUAGUGUAAAUAAUCACGAACAGGUUCUUCAAUUUUCUGAAACUUGCUUUUUUAAAAAAAAAUGACAUUUACCUUUAAUUCUUUAAUGUACUAUCAAAAAUUCUAACAUUAUACAAAACUAUGUCUUUAACACAAAAAGUGAGAACCAUGGUCCUAGCAUAAUAGGUAUUUUGAUAGACAUUGCUUAGGAACUGCUCAAGCAAGAGUUUCCAAAAACAUGGUCCUCCCUUUGGCAAGUCACACUUUGAACAACACCCGUAGCUCCAAAGGCCCUUCCUUAAAAUGUGUAACAUACCACAUCUUCAAGAAUUCAACCAAAGCCUCUAAAUUCUUAUUCUAGAGAGGCUCAAGGGAAGAAAUCUGAGCAGAUAAAGUAUCUUAACAUGGCACCCACAUGUCAAAAAUGUCUAAACAGUUUCAGAAGCACUAAGCAUAACCCUGGGUCCUUUAUGUGCAUGAGCUUAAGAUUCAGAACUUGGCUGUGUUCACAUCCUUUUCCUCCUGGCAUUGGUUAGGUUCUGUAUUUGCACGGCACUUGACCAGUAUGUGUGUUCUGCAAGAUGUUAAAGAGAUAUUUAGCAGUGAAAAAAAGAAUUUUAUGGUCAAAACAUUUUGCAUGAUGCUGGCUGAAACAAAAGUAAACAGGUCCCUCUAUCACAGGACUUGUCAGUGCCUUUAAUCCCCAAUGGACAUUGUGAUCCCCAAGAGAGGGAAUGUGGCGCACAGCAUUUUCCCCACUCAUUUGAUUACAGAAUUAGUUUUUCAAGAAUCCCACAAUACAACUUUUGGAAAGGCUGAUCUAGUACUUUCUAAAAAUGAACAAUGGCAAGAAAGAUGCGGAUUUUUGGGGGGCAGGGAGCGGUGAACAGGCCUUCCUCUAAGUGAGUCAUGAAUUAGGCACUAGCAGACUAAGAGGUAGACUUUGUUCUCAUACCUUCAAAAUGACUUUUCCCUAGACUCCUCAUCUGAAAUGUGAGAAAUAAUUACACUGCUCUGCUUCCCAGGGUUGUUUUUUAUUGUUUUUAAUCAUGAAACUGUGUUCUAUAUUAAUCAUCAAAACAGGUUCUCAACCCAAGUGACCAGACUUCAAAAUCCCUGGUGACCUUCCAGCCUGAAUGAAGGGAUGAGGAGAAUAUGAACCAGACGUCACCCAGCAAGUUUUUACAUCUCCAGCUUCUAGGCCAUUAUGAUAAAGUCAAACUGCAUCCAAGAUAAGGGAUGAAGUUCUCCCUUAGCAACUCACUUCUGGAGGGGACAAACACACAUACCACCCAUAUCUGAACCUUGAUUCAACUUUUUGAUGUAGACUUUCUAAAGGAAAACUCAAAGAAACAUGGGAGGUCAAAGCUGGAACUACAGGGAAAAAAGGAAAAGAAGUACUCAAAGACUAUUUCCUUUUCUUUAAGGAGAAUGAACUCAUUACAGGGUUAGUGAGCAGGGGAAAUAUCAUUCCUUUCAGUGAAACAGCUUUCCAGGAAAAGUAUCUCAACAUAUUUACUAUAAAACAAUUUAAUUUCCCUGUCCCAUCACCUGCCACCCCAUCCUCAUCCCCCCUACAAAACCCACAGAUUGUGGAUUUCCUCUCAUUCUUGGCAGAGUUACCAGAAGAAAUAUAAUACCCCCUUCGGACUGCUCCCAACAGCUGCUGGAAAAAGACAGGAGAGCUGGGGGUAUCCCUCCAAAGCUGCCUCUAAAAAUGACCAUUCCCCCUUCCAACCCACACAGCCAGUGAGCAUAAGACUUCUCUUUCUCUACUUUCUUAAAGCAAGGGGAGACCACAAAAUCAACAGCGUACCCUAAUCCAAAAUACUUGCUUCCGGCCCAUCUGUUCUCCUCAAUAUGACUCCAAACUGAAGCUUCUGUACAGUAACCACCACUCUAUUUCUCCCCUAACAUGUAACUAUUAAAACAAUCCUCUACCACCUCACAAGACCAGUAUUUCUUAUUUGUUUAAUCUACCAAUCUCCAAGUUAGGGUUCCUAUCAAACUCCUAUUCACUAUAAUUUCCCAUCCCUGCCCACCUGUCCCAAUACCACACACUUCAUACAAAUACGAAUCCCCCUCCAGGUCAAGAGACUUGAACAACAAAAGUCUAGGAACAAAUUCAUCAAUGGCUACCCUACACCCCAGCCCUUGCCCAAUAUCCCUUGCCCAAUAUCAUCAUACACUAAAUGCUCUUCAAUUCUGUCUAAAAACACCCCAUCACCAGGCAACAGAGAAGCAUCCAGUUAUCCUUCAGCCUCUCAGCUGAGACCACCAACAAAGAAGUCCAUGAAUGUCAACUGGGGGCACAGGCAAUAUCUCUCUUUGCUGAGGAGAAACUGGAGACAACCUCCAGCAUCAUUCCCCAAAGGUGACAGCCAGGGUUGAGUGAAGACCGUGAAAACUGUACAAGAGCUGGGGGAGAAAAUAUAAUGUAAGGAAUGAUUUGAAAUCAGGGGCAGGAGAAGGCAGAGGAAUGAACUGGCUGACCCCAAAUGUCUUUUCCAUCUCUAACUCCUAUGAUUCUUUGACCUCCAAUUUUGUGCUGUGGACAAGGAAUGGAAAGUCAACAGACGUGGUGAUGUUUUGAAAGAGCCUGGCAGUCUGCUCUUGUCAUUUAGUGGCCUUUGCAUGUAUUUUUUAAGGUGUCUCCAAGCCCUGUCUUCAUUUCACAGUUGUCACCUUUCUCAGCAAUUUGAGCUCAUGUCAAAUACCAAAAAAGAAGAGGAAGAAGAAAGAAUGUGCUGGCAAUUAAUUGUGGGCUAAAGAGGGGCGGCAGGCACAGGGGCCCAUUGGGUGGCCCAGACUUCCAGGGAGGGCAAUGUGGACAGUUUGGAUAAAAUGAAGAAAUGACUCAAAAUUGAGACAAGGCAGCCAAACCUCUAACAGGAGAUAAAUUCUUUCUCCAGAUAGUCUCAUACUCAUUUUUAGAGAAAGCUCAAAUAUUUACAUGAUUCAGGGUACAUAAACAUAUUCUUAAUUACCAUAACCAUUUUGAUUCAAUUGAUUACAAUUGGAGUUCCAUCUGAGCAAGACUACUGAAUAGGAAGGACUUUCCUCAAGGGUAAACCAAAUCUUUGGAUUCUCAACCUUGACUCAUGGUUGACACACCUGAGGUAAAUUCUGAAGCUUAGCAAAAGUCAGUUUCUGCAGAUCAAAGAAGGGAGUCUGCCAAUUUUCACUGAAAAUUCAAAACCCAAUUUUCUCCUCUUUUUUUCAAACAGUUGAUCUCAUCUUAAUUUUCAAAUAUUUUUGGAGCCUGGUCUCAAUAAGAAUCUGCCUAAAUUUCUCCCAGUUCCAUGGUUACAAGUCAGGACCAGAAACUAAUCCAGUGCCAGGGUCAACCCAGAGCUAAGGUUAAGUUGUCACACACACGUAAUUCUUUUCUAAGUCACACAUUCAAAAAUAAUUUUUUAAAAAACCUGUAUACUUCCUCAGUGACCUCACUGUCAGUUGGGGAUUUCAGCAGCUCAAGCACAAUCUUUACCUUAGAUGAAGGUUCCAGGUGCAAAAAAAAAAAAUGAAAGUAUGGAGUACCGAAAUAUUUUCAGAGCUCUCAUUCCAGUAUGAACUCAUACUACAGAUUGCUCAUCUCACAGACUGUGAAGACAUUGGGUUUCUCCAUGUUUCUGCCUUGAAAGCUAGAAAAUUCAGCCCCUACCAUUCAAGUUUUACAAGACUGGAAAGGAUAUAAACAGCUUCUGUAUUCUCAUGGUCUUAGAGAAGGCUUCUUCCAUUCUUCCAGUUCGCAUUUGGAGGUAGUGAUUGCACUAGACCAUGUCCUGCUUCCACAGGUGUACUGUUUUAUUUUGAACCUGUAAACUAAACUCUAUUUUAUUAACUCAUAGAAACCAUUAAAAAUAAGGCCUUUCCAAACGCCGAAGACAAUAAAUACAUCCAUAUUCGAAAUCAUUCCGUGAAUUACAGAACAAAUAAGUGACUGUCCUCCCUGGGUAAGGCAGAAAACUGGAGAAAGCCUAAGCUACUUUGAGUUGUUAAUUGUUUUCUGAAGAUCACAGUUUAGGCCUUAAAUGUAACCAGUUAGCAAUACCAUCUCCAUUCAGGGUUAGGAAACUGGUUAGGAAACUAUAUGCUUUCUGGGUCAAGAAAAUGCUCUUAGGCACAAUCAUUUUAAAACAAAUAAACACACUCUGCUUAUCUGUGUCUAUCUCACCACUCUGGACGUUAAUCAUCACUGAAAUAGAUACCCCAGGCCCCCAGCCUCAAAGAGCUCCAAGGCUACAGGACCCCUCCACAGGAAUGAAUGUACAUGCCAGGACAAACACCUCAGGAGCCUCACUCCCUAAACACCUAUUGUUAAUUCCAGGCAAAUCUAUCAUAGGCAAAUGCAAGACAGCACCCAGGUACUGCUCAAAGGCUAUUUAAAAUAAAAUUCCUAUUUGAGAAUAUGUAGCACUUAAUUCGGGAGGAAGAGGAUCAAGUAAGCUUUCUUUAACAUAAGACUGGCAAUAGAAUCUUUUAAAAAUAGCUUUACAUGCACAGAUGUACUUUUUCUUUCCAUUAUUUGCGUUUGUUAAUUUUCAGUAUCAGAAUUUGCAGAUAGCGCUCCUGUUCUUCCCCUGUCAUAAUGUCUACUUCUUGCAUUCAGUCUACAUUAUCAAGUGACAGCUGAAUUCCACUGUCUUGUUCUUGUAAACGGAACUAGGUUAGUUUGUCCUCUUACUCUUUAGGGAAAAUUUGAAAGACUGCUAUAUGAAACAUUUCUUUGAUUUUUAUUGUUAUAUUCAGGAUAUUUCUAUUCCAACAGGCUUCAUAAAAUCUCCAAACAAAACUGAUUUUAAAUCAGAUGACUGACUCCAACUAUCUUUGUGUCCCUUUAAAAAAAAAAGAAAAGUAAGCUUAGGAUAUCUAUUAGUGUUCACUGUUCGGGCAAGAGGCCUAAAGGGAAGCAAAUUAUUUGUUUGUGGUUUUAAAGUGGCCAGAAUGCCUUCAAGCACAAGUAUAAGACCAUUAGCAAAUCACAAGGAACCAAAGCAGUUCAUCUUACUCAACAAAGCUAUGAUCAGUUAGGAACAGCCAAACUGAAUGGGACUUGCCCUGGGCCGGAAGGUCAGUAAACCUUAGCAGUUUGUGUUUCUGAGAAUCAAGAGGCUCUUCGUCCCGGAGUGCAGGCCAUAAGUCCACAGGUUCUGCUGUCAUGUUUCCAAAAACAUUCAGGACAGGUGAGAGAAACGAAGCACAGUGCGUGUGUGUGCGUGUUCUUCCCUUUGUCUUUAGUCAGCACCUCUAAGUCAAACCAUCCCCACUUUUGCUAUAUACAGACUAACUAGAGGAGAACCCAAACAAUUAAAAAGUUCCGUUUUACAAUUUAUUGUGUGCUUACUAUGUGCUUAAUGCUGUACUAGCCAGCAUUCUACACUUAAGCCUCAUUUUACCAGGCAAGGUUAUUCCCAUUCUUUAUAGGUAAUAAAACCUAGGGCCAGUGAGGUUAUGUGGCUUCUGGUCAAAUCAAGUUUUGUGUAAUGCUGAUAAAAACUCAUCUCACUUAUCUAGUCUGCAGUUAAUUAGCCCAAAGCAAUGAACGACAGCCCUGCCACUAUCCAAGCAGCCAUACUCUUGCUGUACUUUGGGCCCGGGUUCGCUGACUCCCUAAGUGGACUGGGGUGCAUGCCUUCUCCCUCCAGGGAUGACAACCACCUCUCUCAGUGGCUUAUUAAGUCUCUGCAGCUGUCCAGAAACGGACCACACUGGUAAACAUUCUCUCCACCUGCUGUAACACGCAUAACUUCUUCCCUCAAUCCAGAAAACCCGAGCAGUGACCCUGCUCUUUAUCAAGUGCUAUGGCAAAAUAACUUCCCUAGAAGGCCAGGACACCUUACCCUAGGACAUGGGCGAGAAAUCAAAACACACAUGUCUAAUAAAUAAUAAAGCCAUAUCAUUUGGCAAUCUCAAAGCAUUUUACACCAUAAAUUCACUUUCUUUUUUUUUGUUGUUAUUAUUGCUACAGAAUGUAGAUUCAUUCCCAAUAUCUCUCUUUUAGAGCAUUUGAAAAUAAACAUCAAUUCUUUCAUUCAUUCACUCAAUCUCUAUAUGAAGAGAGAGAAAGCCAAACUUUGCCUUAGCUAGCUUGGGUUACAGUCACUUUAGACUUCUCUUAUAGGUUAACUGAUAAUAUUCUUUGAAAGAGUUAUUCUCAUGAGAAAGGAAGAGAAUAAAAAACUAUUUCUGCAGGUGACAAGACUGCAUGCCCAAGAAGUCCCAAGGAACCAUUAUCAUGAAUACAAUCAUCCUAGAAUAAAAAACCAUCAAAUUCAAAAUUUACAAGAGUAGAGUAAUCUUCUACAUUCAGUAAUACCCAGCCAGAAAACAUACUGAAGAGAGUGUAUUUGCAAUAAAAACGAAAUGCAUAACAUUUUCGGAAAUACAUAGGAGUAAGUGCAACAACAGAUAUGUAAGAACUUUAUCAUGAAAACCACAAAAGUCCUUGAAAAAGUACAGAAUUUUUUUUUUUGACAGAGAGUUGAACAGAAGUGUAGAAGUGACACACACACAUAAAUCCAACAGGAUAAUCUUACCCUGACAGAUUACUAGACUCUAUCAAAAAGUAACAAUAUUUAAAAUAGUAUGGAAAUGGAAAACUGUAUCAGUGACACACAAUGAAGAGUUCAGAUAUAGAUCCAAUAUACACACAUAUAUGUCUAUGUGUAUAUACAUGUGUAUAUUAUAUAUAAUAUAUAUAUAAACUUAUUAUAUGGCAAAAUAAGCUGUCCAAAACAAAGGAAAAGAGAAUUACUUAACAAAGUUGUAGACAACAAUAGUAAGUUGAAUUCACCUCUUGCACCAAAAGUGAUAUUGAUGAAAGUGUUAACUAUUAAAAAAUUAAAUUAGGCCAGGCGCCAUGGCUCAUGCCUGUAAUCCCAGCACUUUGGGAGGCCGAGGUGGGCAGAUAACCUGAGGUCGGCAGUUCGAGACCAACCUGACCAAGAUGGAGAAACCCUAUCUCUACCAAAAAUACAAAAUUAGCUGGGUGUGGUGGUGCAUGCCUGUAAUCCCAGCUACGCAAGAGGCUGAGGCAGGAGAACCGCUUGAACCCAGGAGGUGGUGAGCCGAGUGCACACCACUGCACUCCAGCCCGGGCAACAAGAGUGAAACUCCGUCUCAAAAAAAAAAAAAAAAAAAAAAUCAAAUUUGUAAGAAAACCAGUGGGAAACAGAUUUAUCAGGUCUGUGGAGGAAUUAUAAAUUUCUCAGCUUUGGGGAGAAAAAGAGAAAAAAAUCACAAAAGACUGGCAGAGCCUAAUAAAGUGUAAAACAGUAAAGUAAAAUGAAUUGACUGGGAAAAAUAUCUGGAUCAAAGAUGACAGACUAGAUUCUAACAUCUAAGACCCACAAAGAUUCCAAAUUUAUAGGAAAAACAAGAAGACCCCAGUAAUAAAUGGGCAAAGAGUGGGAAGAGACAGUCUCCCAGGUGAAACAAACACAUGGGAAUAUAUUUAUCCCAGCCAGUGGUAAAAGAGAUGCAAAAUAACACAACUUUGGUACCUUAAAUGACCACUAAAGUGGCAAAGAUUUUCUAAAUUCUCACAUAAAAUUUGUUCACUCUGUGCUGGUCCCACUAUAAUUUGGUACAGCACCUCUGCAAACCAUAACCUUUGCUAUAAUGCCACCUUGAGACUUUAUCCUAAGGAACUGAUUUUUAAAAAAUAUGUAUGGUAAUGACAUGUGACUUAUAUUUCAGUAAAGCUGUUACUCAAAAAUGCAUUAUUUCAUUAUUAUCUAUAAUAACAAAAAGCUGAACACUACAUGUAAGUUUAAUAGUAGAGGGAUGUUCUUUAAUCUCAUUAUGCGACAGCCCACAAACAUUUACUAUGUACCUAUUCUGUUAGGAUCAGUAAGAUAGCAAUUAUAUGUGCAACUGAAAAGGUUUUUAAAUGAAAAUAAUUGUCUAGAGGUGAUGGUAUUAUGGCUUUUUAUGUUUUUAAAAACGUUAUUUAAUGUUGUCAUAAUGUACUAGAAAGAACUACUUUUUAAAAAAUGGGUGGAAUAGGGGGCAAUCUGAAAGCUCUUAUUCCCCCAAUUCCCUACAUGUUUUUUCCUUCCUAUUUAACAGUUUAAGUGGUUCAGAAAAGUUUUUCAUUCACAGGUCUCAGACCCUACCAAAAACAGGCCAAAUUGCAAUACCAUGUCUUGUACACAUCCUGGACAGACUCCAGCCUCCUGCCUCAAGCAGGCCCCCUUUUUCGUGUCGCUCUGCCUAUAUGAAGUCAUAAACUAUGGCUGAACACUGGGACCGAGGGCUUCUCUUAAGGUCCGAGCCCUGAAGCUUAACAACCUUUAGAAAAGGGUAGGGAGGAUGAAAGAUGAAAGUCCACAAAAAUUUAUGAUAGACCACUUAAGGAACCUGAGUCCUAGACCUGGACUCAAGGAAUCGUCCAAAGCACCGUACCAGACUGGCUCCUCUGGGGCGAAGGAACCGGGGCAGCUAAACCUCUGCAAAAACACACAAUCGAAAGCUGUAGGGAGUGCCUAAGAUGGCUAAUUGUGAGGAGCGGCCCACCCGGGAGGGUGCCUACUGAGGGAUGCUCUCGGGAGGCUGCCUCAGAUGGAGGCCUUGGGGAGGAGGGGCAAAGGGGUCCCCGAGAGUGCUCGGGAAAGGGUGUAGGCGGAGGUCAGGUGUAGGCCUAGAAACUCGGGGUGCGACACGACCCUGGGCCGACCAGGCCGCGGCGCCCCGCCCUUUCCCGGGACGCGGGGCCGGCUCGGGGCGGGGAGCGGGCGGGCGAGCGGACGCUUACAGGUCGGUGCCGAGCCGCGUGAA